CGUCUAUAUACGUAUAGCAUAUCAAUAAGCGGAGGAAAAGAAACUAACUAGGAUUCCCUCAGUAACGGCGAGUGAAGCGGGAAGAGCUCAAAUUUGAAAUCUUCAAGGUUCUACCUUGACGAAUUGUAGUUUAAAGAAGUGUUUUCUGUUGGAGUUUUGGUAAAAGUUCUUUGGAAAUAGGACAUCAUAGAGGGUGAGAAUCCCGUAUUUGACCAUUAUUUCCAACUUUGUGAUACACUUUCAAAGAGUCGGAUUGUUUGGGAAUGCAGUCCAAAAUGGGUGGUAAAUUUCAUCUAAAGCUAAAUACUGGCGAGAGACCGAUAGCGAACAAGUACCGUGAGGGAAAGAUGAAAAGAACUUUGAAAAGAGAGUUAAACAGUACGUGAAAUUGUCAAAAGGGAAGCGUUUGACACCAGUGUUGUUUUCUCGAAAAUCAAUUAAAAAUGACCGGAUUUUGUGUUGUAUUGACUUUAUCAGCUUUCUGCACUUUUUUCUUGUCUUUUUUAAUGCACUUUUCGUUUAACAAGUCAACAUCAAUUUCUUUUGUUGUAAAAGAGGUCAUUGGAAGGUGGCUUUCUUUUCGGAGAAAGUGUUUAUAGCCUUUGACUUCUGCAAUCGGAGAGAUUGAGGUCUGCAGCGUAGAUCCUUCGGGGUUAGAUGCAUUUGUGCUAAGUUAUAGCCUUUCAUAGACAACUUGUUGACUAUGAUCAGUCAUGUAGCUUACUCGCUUAUGUCUAUUUUACCUACGCUUAGGAUGUUGACGAUCAGCUGAGCGC
rnacentral:rRNA from 1 species